rnacentral:rRNA from 1 species
GACGAACGCUGGCGGCGUGCUUAACACAUGCAAGUCGAACGAAGUGGCGAACGGGUGAGUAACGCGUAAUCCACCUGCCCUUCAGAGGGGGACAACAGUUGGAAACGACUGCUAAUACCGCAUACUGAAGGAUGGGAUUGCGUCUGAUUAUGUAGUUGGAGGGGUAACGGCCCACCAAGGCGAUGAUCAGUAGCCGGUAUGAGAGGAUGAAAGGCCACAUUGGGACUGAGACACGGCCCAGACUCCUAAGGGAGGCAGUAGUGGGGAAUCUGCCGCAAUGGACGAAAGUCUGACGGAGCAACGCCGCGUGAGUGAUGCCGGCCUUCGGGUUGUAAAGCUCUGUUAAUCGGGACGCGGUACCGGAAUAGAAAGCCACGGCUAACUACGUGCAAGCAGCCGCGGUAUAC